UGUUGAUGUGCUCCAAAUGGCUUCUUGACUGUAGAUGCCCGACUCUAGUUUGUGCUCCACUUUCCCCGUUAGCAUCAUAAAGGGAUCAGUCAAGCUGUCUGAUGUAAUCUUGGUGUUUCUAAAAACUUGUCCUUGUAACCAAAGCCCCAAGACUGAGGUGCAAAAUUUCAGUGGGGAGGAGGGUUUUUUUUAACUACUGUUUUUAAAUCAGUUUGGAAAAUAUCUAAACUGAGUAUUUUCUAAAGUUUUUAGAUCUGGUGUCAAUGGAAAUGUGAUGGAAUCUGUAUCUUGUCCUUGGAUCUUUUGCUGAAUGAGCUAUGGAGUAGCUGCAGAUGUAGAAGCUGGAUCACCUCCCCCUGUCUUUUUUUUUCCUCAGAAAAUUGAAUGUUGAGUUUUCAUUUUACUACAGAAAAGUGCUCUAUCAGUGUGUGAGCUACAGCUACCAUCCUGUAGAGGAUGGUUUCACUGAAGGAGACUGGCUGGAAGGGCAUUAAUGUUCUGAUGCAGAUACUCCCUUGCAAAUCUCCAUGUUUUCUUCUAUGCUCCAAUUGCUUCAAUGUGAGGAAUGUCUCAGGCUUUCUGUUUGCAGACUGUUUUCAUGGUGACAUAGCUUCUGCUCAGACCUUUCUGCCGUGGCUGUAUGUUCCUGAAGCCAUCAGUUCAGGUUCAUGUCCUCCUUUAGAUACUUCCAAAACUAGAUGGGAGGAUUUGUUUUUUCCAUUGUUUCAGAUAGCCUUAAAUAUGAGUGUAGUUAUGACCCUUCACAGGUGCUCUUGAUGGCUGAAUUGGGGGUGGUUAGGGGUGUUUAAAAAACAUCCAUCCAUUCCUAGCUGUUCCAGGGCAAGAAUGGGCAUGGGGGGGAUUUAUGUUUUCUCUAAUGUGUACAGGGUUUUCAAUCAGUACUAAUGCUAUAUUGUACUGAAUGAGCAGUUGAACUUGGUGAAUAAUUUAAGUCAAGUUUGGGAAAUAUAUCUGGUGCAUCGAACAGUAUGUUUUUAUUUCAGUAAGGUUUUAAAAAAAUCUGUGUUGAUUCUGCCUUUCAACAAAAACGUAGGUACAUAAUGCAAGAACAAGAAUGGAUUGACUAGGAGACCAGAGGACACUACAUUUAUGUGGAAUAGAUAAGCAAUGAAAACAUAGUUUGAAAAGAAAUAAUUAAUUAAAAAAGCAGAUGUGCUGAUUUUUGCAAGACGGCUUUUUUCAUAUAAUUGCAAGACGGUUUCAUUAUUAUAAUUAACAAUUGGC
rnacentral:lncRNA from 1 species